rnacentral:lncRNA from 1 species
AUGGUGCAAAUGCCCAGAAAAUACUCAACAGAAUGGUCCUUUGGUCUUACAGACAGCACUGGACUCGGGGUCAGAAUUCAGAUUCUGCCCAAAGUGGCUUGCGACCUUCAGCAAGGUCACAGAAAUUCUUGGAACCUCAGUUUCUUCAUGUGUCCUAAGAGAGGCCUCCUGGGGUGGCUGCGAACAUCUGAUGUGCACACAAGUUUAGAAGACACCGCCACUCCAGAGGAAGAUGAGGAGAGGAAGGAGAAGACCUGGUCCCCCAGCCAUUGUGCAGAGGUGAGAGACCGCAGUGAGAUCUCCAAGAUCCGAAGUUGUUUGGCUGAUCCUGGAGAGCAGUGUAAACACCGUCUCUGGUGGUGGAAGGGCCAGGUCCACCUGCACGUCCCGUCUCUCCUUCCGCUGAAGUGGCCGACACAGUCUGCAGCCCCCACCGGCCCUGACCCAGGGAGCACGAGGAUGGCAUCCGCCUUCCGUGUCACCACGCCGAGCACACAGUAGGCCCUGAGGAGCUGCGUGCUUGCCGGACAGGUGGCCGAAUGAAUAACGGAACGAGAGCAUGGACCAUGAGCCCAGACCAGCUUCCCUCCUCCACGAAUCCAAAUGUAUAAAGAGCACCCGGCAAGUC